rnacentral:rRNA from 1 species
UACAGAGGGUGCGAGCGUUAAUCGGAAUUACUGGGCGUAAAGCGCGCGUAGGCGGCUUUGCAAGUCGGGUGUGAAAUCCCCAGGCUUAACCUGGGAACUGCAUUCGAGACUGCAUUGCUAGAGUAUGGGAGAGGGAAGUGGAAUUUCCGGUGUAGCGGUGAAAUGCGUAGAUAUUCGGAAGAACACCAGUGGCGAAGGCGGCUCACUGGCCCGGUACUGACGCUGAGAUGCGAAAGCGUGGGGAGCAAACAGG